UACGGAGGAGGCAAGCGUUAUCCGGAAUUAUUGGGCGUAAAGCGUCCGCAGGUGGCACUUCAAGUCUGUCGUCAAAGACUGGGGCUUAACCCUGGAAAGGCGGUGGGAAACUGAAGCGCUAGAGUGCGGUAGGGGUAGAGGGAAUUCCCGGUGUAGCGGUGAAAUGCGUAGAGAUCGGGAAGAACAUCGGUGGCGAAAGCGCUCUACUGGACCGCAACUGACACUCAGGGACGAAAGCUAGGGGAGCGAAUGGG
rnacentral:rRNA from 1 species